rnacentral:rRNA from 1 species
UACGUAGGGGGCAAGCGUUGUCCGGAUUUAUUGGGCGUAAAGAGCUCGUAGGCGGUUUGGUAAGUCUGGUGUGAAAUCUCCACGCUCAACGUGGAGGGGCCACCCGAUACUGCCAUGACUGGAGUCCGGUAGAGGAGUGUGGAAUUCCCGGUGUAGCGGUGAAAUGCGCAGAUAUCGGGAGGAACACCCGUAGCGAAGGCGGCACUCCGGUGCCGGAACUGGACGCUGAGGAGCGAAAGCGUGGGGAGCAAACAGG